GCCUGGGUGGCUCAGUCGGUUGGGCAUCCGACUUCGGCUCAGAUCAUGGUCUCGCGGUCCGUGGGUUUGAGCCCCGUGUCAGGCU
rnacentral:tRNA from 1 species